GAGAAAACUCGCAAGGACUGCUAAUCCAUGCUCCGUACUUAAAACUACGGUUUCCUCA
rnacentral:tRNA from 1 species